rnacentral:rRNA from 1 species
GCCCUUUAUGACCUGGGCUACACACGUACUACAAUGGCGUUUAACAAAGAGAAGCAAAGCCGCGAGGCAGAGCAAAUCUCCAAAAAACGUCUCAGUUCGGAUUGUAGGCUGCAACUCGCCUACAUGAAGUCGGAAUUGCUAGUAAUCGUAGGUCAGCAUACUACGGUGAAUACGUUCCCGGGCCUUGUACACACCGCCCGUCAAACCAUGAGAGUUGGCAACACCCGAAGUCGGUAGUCUAACCGCAAGGAGGACGCCGCCGAAGGUGGGGUUGAUGAUUAGGGUUAAGUCGUAACAAGGUAGCCGUAUCGGAAGGUGCGGCUGGAUCACCUCCUUU